rnacentral:lncRNA from 1 species
CAAUGAAUUAAGCAGCUCUGGGGUACAGUUGCAACACAGUAGGCACAUUAACUUAUUAUGAAAUAAGCAGAAUGUUAUAGAAUACCACAGAAGAUCAGCAGAGGAUACACAGGACCAACAUCCCCUUUGUUCCUGCAGGCAGGAUUACCAGGAUACAACAGGAAUACUCCAGUGCUUCUCUUAUGGAGACGCUUUGACCAGGCUUGGAUUGAUCUGAGAGUGAGGUCAGAGGCAAGCAGACCUUCAACCCUGAGUCCACAGCCAUGGCUGCUCCCCUCCUCAUCAUGUCAGGCCAAUGUCUGCACUACGAGUUACAGCUGAAAACUACUAAUUCAAAAUUAUAAAAGUGGAAGAUUGAAUUUAUGAAAAUGGGAAACAGCCGUUUUGUGGCAGUUUUGUGACAGUUUUCUCACUAGAGCACAGCUUCCGGGGUUGAAGUCAUUAGUGUUCCUGUUAAACAGCAAGUAGCACAACUCUCAACAUAACAGGGACCUCCUCUUGGCUAUGUCAACUAUUUUAUUGGAUUAUUUCUGCAUAGGCUAUUUCUAGCUGUAGCCUGUGUCAGAGGUUUGGACUGGCUGGGUAUCCAAGUAUCUGUUUACAAGCAUCAGGAUGGAUGGAAUGUAAUCAAGUACAGUCAAAGGCAACUAAGGCAACUGGAAAGGACACAUCUGUUGGUGCUCCACUUCAGGGCUAGAAUUGUGAUUAAAAACAACAAAAUCAACACUAGGUAAACGUUACUGCCAUUGUCUGAAGCCAUUUAAAUAUUGCAAUUGCAAGUGACUUCAAGGCUGCUGUCUAAACUCCGCUAGAAUCAAGUAAACAAUGAAAAAUAAAAGCACAAUAUAAAUUAGAAUUUUGAUAAAAAAACUCUUUUACCUGUUUGUCUAUUUGGUCUUUCUGAUAAUAACAUAAAAAUACUGUAAAAAUCUUUGAAGAAAAAGAAUAAGGGAAAAUCUAUAUGUUUGGAUUUGAUUUUCUAUACCAUGUGUUCACUCUGUAUGACUGCUUGUCUGUGAACAGUUUUGGAUACAUAAACCAAAUUUGAACAAAUUUAAUUUAAAAUAUUGUGUGCAUUGGGGAGGAAUAUGACAAGCUAAGUUGAAAUCAUGAGGAGAUACAAGAAAUCAACAAGAGCAGUAAGGAUACCUAAAAUAUGACCACGAAAAAGACUUUACUGGUAAACAGUUACAAGUAAGAUAACUACAUAGUAGGGCAAUCUAGCAUUAAAGGACAUAGCCCUGCACUGAUGCUGAACUCCAGACAAAUGAGAAAGCUGGACUCAUCAAAAGCCUGUGGAUGAUGGUGAAAGAAGAGGAGGACUCAGCUGUGUCUGUCAGUAGACUAAACCACAUGAACAGAGAAUAGGUAGUGGAAGCCUUUAUCAUGAACAAAUGACAAAUCAUUUAACACCCAAUGCACAGAAGCAGAGUCCCAAGAGAGCUUAACUAUCCAAAGAAUGAGUAGGAAAGGAAACAGGAGGACAUGGAUAAAUUAACAAGCUCUAUUCUGAAAAGCAUUGUUCGCCACUUCUAUUUCUGUGUUAAAACAGAGAGAGGAGAGGAUCUUCUGGAUAUGUUUCUGUACUACUGAAAAGUACCAGAGAAAAGUAGCUGUUUGAGAAAAGAAUGAUGAAAGGUGACUUGGAGACAGUGACUGAAAUCAUAAAGUAUAUAUUGUCAGGAAGAAAAUAGAAGAAAAGGAGACAAUCAUAGACUUGAAGUAGACAACUUUCACAAAUUCAAGAAAAGGAAAAAGUAAUUAAGUUGUAGCAGAAAACAUAAGCUAUUCUUAUCAGAAGGGGAAAGUAUUGAGAGUGAGAUUAGUUGAGGUAAGCCAGAAACUUUUACUUGAUCUCAAACUCACGAAGUUCCAUCUGAAAAGUAGAAAUCAGGUCAAAUUUUUAAACAUAUAAAAUAACAGUAUGUGUAUGAUCCAAUCAGGAGAUAAAGGCAUAAACCAAACACAGAGCUUGAAGACACUUCAAAAGGAAACAAGCAUUAAAGAUAACAAAAAGAAAAGAAAAUUAUGAUUGCUUUUCCUGAUUAUUUGUGUGACUGAAGGCAAGGAAAUGACACAAAAGAUGAUCCCAAGAAGAUUGGAAUAUUUAAAACCUUUUUUGCAUAUGACAAAAAAAAGCUGCUGACACCUCAUUAACAUAAUUACAUAAUUAACAUUUAUGAAAAGAAGUUAAGUAUUCAUUUAAAACAGUGUCAGGAGAGCAUUAUGGAAUGUUCUCAAGUCAGCCAGACUGGACAGACUUUGGCCUGGGAUAUUUCAAGAAUGAGGUGAAUUCUUCAGAUUAGCAAUUACUUGAGAAUCUGUCAAAAUUGGCUAAAAGAUGUAAGUCUGAGAAAGGACAAAAGCAACAGCUGCCUUAUACAAUAAGAGGGGAGAAAGUAGAUGAAGAAGAGGCUGGCAAUAUUAAACUAAUCAGUCUAACUUCAACUCAGAAAAAAAAAAACAACCCAGAAAUAAAUCUAAAGCAAAUCUAGAAUUAAGUAAACUCUUUGCAAAUGCUUUCAAUGAAAAGCAAUAGC